rnacentral:tRNA from 1 species
CGAGCGCCUGGUGGAAGGGGUGGAGCCGGAGGGGCUGGUGCUGCUUCGCGGAAAGGUCGGCCGCCGGUUCACCCGGUUCCAACCGGGUGGUCGGC